GGAGCCGUAGCGAAAGCGAGUUUUAACUGAGCGUUCAGUUACUUGACGUAGACCCGAAACCGGGCGACCUACCCAUGAGCAGGAUGAAGCGAAAGUAAAAUUUCGUGGAGGUCCGAACCCACGAGCGUUGAAAAGCUCGGGGAUGACUUGUGGGUAGCGGUGAAAUUCCAAUCGAGCCCGGAGAUAGCUGGUUCUCCCCGAAAUAGCUUUAGGGCUAGCCUCAAGGUGAGAGAUACGGAGGUAGAGCACUGAAUGUCCUAGGGGGUAUUGCACCUACCGAAGACUAUCAAACUCCGAAUGCCGUCAUCUUAUACUUGGGAGUCAGACUGUGGGUGAUAAGAUUCAUAGUCGAAAGGGCAACAGCCCAGAUCGUCAGCUAAGGUCCCUAAAUGUAAGUUAAGUGGUAAAGGAUGUGGGAUUGCACAGACAACCAGGAUGUUGGCUUAGAAGCAGCCACUCAUUCAAAGAGUGCGUAAUAGCUCACUGGUCGAGUGAUCCUGCGCCGAAGAUUUCCGGGGCUAAAACUUACUACCGAAGCUACGGCAUCA
rnacentral:rRNA from 1 species